ensembl:lncRNA
GGGGAAGGGUCAGCAUAUACAGUGUUCAGGAGACCAAGAGGGGACAGGUUAGGAGGGGAAGGGUCAGUAUAUACAGUGUUCAGGAGACCAAGAGGGGAAGGGUCAGCAUAUACAGUGUUCAGGAGACCGAGAGGGGAAGGGUCAGCAUAUACAGUGUUCAGGAGACCAAGAGGGGAAGGGUCAGAAUAUACAGUGUUCAGGAGACCAAGAGGGGACAGGUUAGGAGGGGAAGGGUCAGCAUAUACAGUGUUCAGGAGACCAAGAGGGGACAGGUUAGGAGGGGAAGGGUCAGCAUAUACAGUGUUCAGGAGACCAAGAGGGGAAGGAUCAGCAUAUACAGUGUUCAGGAGACCAAGAGGGGAAGGGUCAGCAUAUACAGUGUUCAGGUGUCUGUCUGUCUGUCUGUCUGUCUGUCUGUCUGUCUGUCUGUCUGUCUG